GGAAAAGUUUAGUUCGGGGAUCAUUAAAAUAUAUUGCUGGAUCCUGGUUAGCCCAUCUACGCUGGACUACAAGAAAACGCUCUAGCAAUCGGGUUAAUUUUCCUAGACAUCCUCCUGAUCUCAGCCAGGACAGCCACAAAGUGCCCGGCUAAGCAGCACUGAUAUGGCGGCAUUAUCUUUAGGAAAGCGAUUUUCAAAUGGACGUUGUUUACAUUUUCAAACGGAGCUGCCAACUUGCGUGAACAUUCGAAAAUUCUUAAAGGGCACUGACGUAGAGAUACCCUUUUAUUCAAUAAAUAUAUACGCUAAAAUCAAUCACUCUGUAUAUAAAAUAAAAAAUGAUAAUUAACUAGCCUCUUGUUACAAAUACAUGUUUGCUUUAGAAUUAAUUCUACAAAUAUUAAGUCUGUAAUAAUAUUGACUUCACCUGUUGCAAUGGACACUGCAGCCCAAUACACUCCAGUUACCCACUGACCGGCUGGCAAGAAACCAGUGUUGAAAAGCGACAGGCAGACGCGCCUCCAAAAUUUUUAAAUGUGACAAUGUGUGUUUAAUAGCAAUUAUUACAU